GCUGUGUGCUAUUCCUGGUCAAAAUCCCAUUUUGUGUUCAGCUACAUCUGCUGAGUACAACAAUACCCCCAUUGUAUGCCUUUGCCACUAUUUUGGGAAGCUACAAUGACAUAUAAGAGGCCAGACUAUUUCAGUUUCUACAGUUAGAAAAUUCAAAGAUGGAUUUAAUGGACCUAUGUCUUAUUUUGGGGCAUUAUAGUAGUUUGGUUGUUCAAAUGACCACACAAAGGCC